UAUCCCACUGCCACAGGAGCAAUGGUUGGUAGAAAAUAAAAACGACCAAUGGAGUAUAAUUUAUAACAAACUCAUUUAUCAAUAAUAAAAACCUUUACUGUCCACUUACCUCAGUGAGAUUCAUAAAGACAAUUUAUGAAACACAAUAACAUCAUAAACAUCAUAAAAUCAUGCAAACUCUGUAACAUAACACAUAUCAUACUC
rnacentral:lncRNA from 1 species